rnacentral:rRNA from 1 species
CACUAGCGAUCCGCCGGCGGCUCCAAGGCCCUGGUGGGGAGCUUCCCGGAAACGAAAGUCUUCCGGUUCCGGGGGAAGUAUGGUUGCAAAGCUGAAACUUAAAGGAAUUGACGGAAGGGCACCACCAGGAGUGGAGCCUGCGGCUUAAUUUGACUCAACACGGGAAAACUCACCCGGCCCGGACACCGUGAGGAUUGACAGAUUGAUAGCUUUUUCAUGAUUCGGUGGUUGGUGGUGCAUGGCCGUUCUUAGUUCGUGGAUCGAUUUGUCUGGUUUAUUCCGAUAACGAGCGAGACUCCAGCCUACUAAAUAGUGCGGGCAUUGCCUCUGUGCCAUGUACUUCUUAGAGGGAUUGGCUGCGUCUAGCGGCACGAAACGGAGCAAUAACAGGUCUGUGAUGCCCUUAGAUGUCCGGGGCUGCACGCGCGCUACACUGGCAAAGGCAGCGUGCUUGUCCGUCUCCGAAAGGAGCCGGUAAACCCUUGAAAAUUUGCCGUGAUUGGGAUCGGAAAUUGCAAUUAUUUUCCGUGAACGAGGAAUUCCUAGUAAGUGCGAGUCAUCAGCUCGCGUUG